UACAGAGGGGGCUAGCGUUAUUCGGAAUUAUUGGGCGUAAAGGGCGCGUAGGCGGCCAUGCGUGUCUUCCGUGAAAUCCCUCGGCUUAACUGAGGACGUGCGGAAGAAACUGCAAGGCUCGAGUCCGGGAGAGGGGGGUGGAAUUCCCAGUGUAGCGGUGAAAUGCGUAGAUAUUGGGAGGAACACCGGUGGCGAAGGCGGCCCCCUGGACCGGAACUGACGCUGAGGCGCGAAAGCGUGGGGAGCGAACAGG
rnacentral:rRNA from 1 species